GAUAAACGCUGGCGGCGUGCCUAAUCAAUGCGAGUCGCACGGGCACCUUCGGGUGUCAGUGGCGUCCGGGUGAGUAACGCGUAGCUAACCUGCCCAGCGGUGGGGGAUACCCGCCAGAAAUGGCGGCUAAUACCGCAUAGCGUGACGAGGGGGUGACCUUCGGCACGAAAGCAGUGAUGUGCCACUGGAGGGGGCGUGCGUCCGAUUAGCUAGUCGGUGGGGUAAUGGCCACCGAGGCGACGAUCGUAGCUGGUCUGAGAGGAUGGUCAGCCACACUGGGACUGAGACAUGGUCCAGAGCUCGUACGGGGUUUAGCAUGGAGGGAUAUUGCGCAAUGGGCGAAAGCCUGACGCAGCAACGCCGCGUGUGGGACGACGCC
rnacentral:rRNA from 1 species